rnacentral:rRNA from 1 species
AUUACACAAAUAUGAAGGCGGGCUGGAACCUCUCGGGGUUACAGCCUUGCUGAAUUAUUCACCCUUGUCUUUUGCGUACUUCUUGUUUCCUUGGUGGGUUCGCCCACCACUAGGACAAACAUAAACCUUUUGUAAUUGCAAUCAGCGUCAGUAACAAAUUAAUAAUUACAACUUUCAACAACGGAUCUCUUGGUUCUGGCAUCGAUGAAGAACGCAGCGAAAUGCGAUAAGUAGUGUGAAUUGCAGAAUUCAGUGAAUCAUCGAAUCUUUGAACGCACAUUGCGCCCUUUGGUAUUCCAAAGGGCAUGCCUGUUCGAGCGUCAUUUGUACCCUCAAGCUUUGCUUGGUGUUGGGCGUCUUGUCUCUAGCUUUGCUGGAGACUCGCCUUAAAGUAAUUGGCAGCCGGCCUACUGGUUUCGGAGCGCAGCACAAGUCGCACUCUCUAUCAGCAAAGGUCUAGCAUCCAUUAAGCCUUUUUUUCAACUUUUGACCUCGGAUCAGGUAGGGAUACCCGCUGAACUUAAGCAUAUCAAUAAGCGGAGGAAAAGAAACCAACAGGGAUUGCCCUAGUAACGGCGAGUGAAGCGGCAACAGCUCAAAUUUGAAUCUGGCUCUUUUAGAGUCCGAGUUGUAAUUUUGCAGAGGGCGCUUUGGCUUUGGCAGCGGUCCAAGUUCCUUGGAACAGGACGUCACAGAGGGUGAGAAUCCCGUACGUGGUCGCUGGC